AGAGUUUGAUCCUGGCUCAGAAUCAACGCUGGCGGCGUGCCUCAGACAUGCAAGUCGAACGCGAAAGCUCCCUUCGGGGAGCAAGUAGAGUGGCGCACGGGUGAGUAACACGUAGGUAAUCUACCUUUGGAUGGGGAAUAACAACCGGAAACGGUUGCUAAUACCGCAUAAUGCAGCGGCACCUAAUGGUGACAGUUGUUAAAGCGGGGGAUCGCAAGACCUCGCGUCUGAAGAGGAGCCUGCGGCAGGUUAGCUAGUUGGUAAGGUAACGGCUUACCAAGGCGAUGAUCUGUAGCCGGCCUGAGAGGGCGGUCGGCCACACUGACACUGACAUACGGGUCAGACUCCUACGGGAGGCAGCAGUCGGGAAUUUUGGGCAAUGGGCGAAAGCCUGACCCAGCAACGCCGCGUGAAGGAUGAAAUCCCUCGGGAUGUAAACUUCGCAAGAACGGGAAGAAUAAGUAAGGGUUAAUAUCUCUUACGAUGACGGUACUGUUUGUAAGCUCCGGCUAACUCCGUGCCAGCAGCCGCGGUAAUACGGGGGGAGCAAGCGUUGUUCGGAUUUACUGGGCGUAAAGGGCGCGUAGGCGGCCACCGCAAGUCGACUGUGAAAUCUCCGGGCUUAACCCGGAAAGGUCAGCCGAUACUGCGGGGCUAGAGUGCAGAAGGGGCAACUGGAAUUCUCGGUGUAGCGGUGAAAUGCGUAGAUAUCGAGAGGAACACCUGCGGCGAAGGCGGGUUGCUGGGCUGACACUGACGCUGAGGCGCGAAAGCUAGGGGAGCGAACGGGAUUAGAUACCCCGGUAGUCCUAGCCUUAAACGAUGAAUGCUUGGUGUCUGGGGUUAUAUAGUCCCCGGGUGCCGUCGCUAACGCUUUAAGCAUUNCGCCU
rnacentral:rRNA from 1 species